CCGCAGAGUUUUGAAUCAUGGCUCAGGAUGAACGCUGGCGGCGUGCCUAAUACAUGCAAGUCGAGCGAACAGACAAGGAGCUUGCUCCUUUGACGUUAGCGGCGGACGGGUGAGUAACACGUGGGUAACCUACCUAUAAGACUGGGAUAACUUCGGGAAACCGGAGCUAAUACCGGAUAAUAUUUCGAACCGCAUGGUUCGAUAGUGAAAGAUGGUUUUGCUAUCACUUAUAGAUGGACCCGCGCCGUAUUAGCUAGUUGGUAAGGUAACGGCUUACCAAGGCGACGAUACGUAGCCGACCUGAGAGGGUGAUCGGCCACACUGGAACUGAGACACGGUCCAGACUCCUACGGGAGGCAGCAGUAGGGAAUCUUCCGCAAUGGGCGAAAGCCUGACGGAGCAACGCCGCGUGAGUGAUGAAGGUCUUCGGAUCGUAAAACUCUGUUAUUAGGGAAGAACAUACGUGUAAGUAACUAUGCACGUCUUGACGGUACCUAAUCAGAAAGCCACGGCUAACUACGUGCCAGCAGCCGCGGUAAUACGUAGGUGGCAAGCGUUAUCCGGAAUUAUUGGGCGUAAAGCGCGCGUAGGCGGUUUUUUAAGUCUGAUGUGAAAGCCCACGGCUCAACCGUGGAGGGUCAUUGGAAACUGAAAACUUGAGUGCAGAAGAGGAAAGUGGAAUUCCAUGUGUAGCGGUGAAAUGCGCAGAGAUAUGGAGGAACACCAGUGGCGAAGGCGACUUUCUGGUCUGUAACUGACGCUGAUGUGCGAAAGCGUGGGGAUCAAACAGGAUUAGAUACCCUGGUAGUCCACGCCGUAAACGAUGAGUGCUAAGUGUUAGGGGGUUUCCGCCCCUUAGUGCUGCAGCUAACGGCAUUAAGGCACGCU
rnacentral:rRNA from 1 species